AUGCACCUGCUGAGAUUUACUUUGGUCACUAUUAGGCCCCGUAGGUCCCUGCCCAACAGCUGGAAGGGCCGGGAUUUGAACCCCGUGCGAUCUGAGCCAGGGGGCUGGCGACUACAUCACACAGCCUCCGGCCGGGGGGACAGGGAUGUCGCACUCCGGCCACCCGGAAAGACAGAGACUCCUGAAACCCCCAGUCUCCCUCCGGAGGAGCCUCCAGGCUGCAGGGCAGCAAAAGCACCCCACUGUCCCCCCAUGUGCAGCCAUCCUCCACGGCUUCCUUCGGAAAAUCUUUUUUAUUAAGUGCGCCUUGUAGCCAGCCUCUCACUUACACAUCUUAACCUCCUCUGGGCUAUUGAUUUCUCAUUCUAUUAAAUCCUCUUUAACUCCAGCCCUCAAACUUCAAUUCGAAACAUGUGUUUCCUCCCGCCGCUGGGACACCCCCAUUCUGGGCAUGGCGCCCCCGGCUUGCACCCCCUGCCAGGGAGCCUGCCCACGAUUCUGUCCCUGAGGUCGAGGGACUUACAGGCCUGAGACUAUGGAGAUUACCAAGAGUAAACUGAGGCAGCCAGAAGUAGCCCGGAUUCUGACAGGUGGGGAGGGCAGGGGGAGCCCCGGGACACCCGGUUCCUGGAAGCCGGGGUCCACGCAGGCUCCCGGUCCCCUCCUCACCUGCCAGGAUCCACUAGGAAUCUCUCUCUGUAACAAACAUUAUUGAACAUCACUUGGGGCCACUUCAGUGAGACAAAUAUUUACUUAGCACCCACUCCGUGCGUGGCACUGGGGUCCCCCGGAAGGACAGCUGGGCUCGGGACCCCUGAAGGCCACAGGCCCGGGAGCAGCUUCAGCGCGACAGCCACUGCUGGUCGCACAAGACUCUCAGCUGGUCCGCAGGCUCCCGGCUCCAUCCCAAAUGCUCCGGCGGCGCCUCGCAGCAGGUCUGCGAACACAGCCCUCAGCCCUCCCCGAGGCCCACUUCCCCUUCUGGCUUCCCUAUUUCUGAAGUGGCACCACCAUCCUGCGAGCCUCCGGGGCUCCAAAUCUCAAAGUUCUCUGCGACACUUCCUGCUCCCUCCUCUGCUGUUCCCAAUCUGUCCGCACAUUCUGCUGUUCCUUGGAAAUGCCACUCAAACGCACCC
rnacentral:lncRNA from 1 species